UGGGGAAUAUUGGACAAUGGGCGAAAGCCUGAUCCAGCCAUGCCGCGUGUGUGAAGAAGGUCUUCGGAUUGUAAAGCACUUUAAGUUGGGAGGAAGGGCAUUAACAUAAUACGUUAGUGUUUUGACGUUACCGACAGAAUAAGCACCGGCUAACUCUGUGCCAGCAGACGCGGUAAUACAGAGGGUGCAAGCGUUAAUCGGAAUUACGGGGCGUAAAGCGCGCGUAGGUGGUUUGUUAAGUUGGAUGUGAAAUCCCCGGGCUCAACCUGGGAACUGCAUUCAAAACUGACUGACUAGAGUAUGGUAGAGGGUGGUGGAAUUUCCUGUGUAGCGGUGAAAUGCGUAGAUAUAGGAAGGAACACCAGUGGCGAAGGCGACCACCUGGACUAAUACUGACACUGAGGUGCGAAAGCGUGGGGAGCAAACA
rnacentral:rRNA from 1 species